AAAUGUGGAUACCUGUUACAUUAUCUAGAUCCGUAUUCUUUACUUGCACAUUGUUUUGUCUUCUGUGUCUAAGAGUAUUUUCAAAAUAUAUUUCGUGAUGCAUUGUCUUGACUUUUGAUCAAAUUCCAUUUUUAUGAUCAACCUUGAAUAGACCUUUUAGAUUUUAAUGGGUGUUUUGAAUUGAGGUCUCUAAUAAUCAUGAAUGCUUUUUAAAAUUUUUUUGUAGAGACAGGAUCUCGCCAUGUUGCCUAGGCUGGUUGUGAACUCUUGGCCUCAAGCAGUCCUCCCGCCACAGCCUCCCAAAGUGUUGGGAUGACUCCCACCAUGCCUGGCAGUGGCGCGAUCUCGGCUAACUGCAAGCUCCACCUCCUGGGUUCAUGCCAUUCUCCUGCCUUAGCUUCCCGAGUGGCUGGGACUAUGGGCGCCCACCACCACGCCCGGCUAAUUUU
rnacentral:lncRNA from 1 species